rnacentral:rRNA from 1 species
UACAGAGGUGGCAAGCGUUGUUCGGAAUUACUGGGCGUAAAGGGCGCGUAGGCGGCCUUCUAAGUCAGACGUGAAAUCCCCCGGCUUAACCUGGGAACUGCGUCUAAUACUGGGAGGCUUGAGUAUGGGAGAGGGAUGUAGAAUUCCAGGUGUAGCGGUGAAAUGCGUAGAUAUCUGGAGGAAUACCGGUGGCGAAGGCGGCAUCCUGGACCAUAACUGACGCUGAGGCGCGAAAGCUAGGGGAGCAAACGGG